rnacentral:rRNA from 1 species
UACGUAGGGCGCAAGCGUUGUCCGGAAUUAUUGGGCGUAAAGAGCUCGUAGGCGGUUUGUCGCGUCUGCCGUGAAAACCCGAGGCUUAACCUCGUGGCUUGCGGUGGAUACGGGCAGACUAGAGGUAGGUAGGGGAGAAUGGAAUUCCCGGUGUAGCGGUGAAAUGCGCAGAUAUCGGGAAGGAACACCGGUGGCGAAGGCGGUUCUGCUGGGGCCGUUACCUGACGCUGAGGAGCGAAAGCGUGGGGAGCGAACAGG